UGUAACGUGAUCCUCAGGAGACUUUCCUCAGAUGAGUGCAGGUUGGAGCACAAACACCGAGGCACACAGAGCAAAUAACAGGACGCGAACACCCGGCCGACUGCAUGUUGUCAUCAGAGCUGCGAAAUCACUGCCAGCAGAGAUAUGUGAAACUGCAGCGCAGCACUUCUGAGGAUCAGGGAGCCUGUCAUUAUCAGAUUAUUGUCUCCACUGACAGUUGAAAUUAGACCUCAAAGUCACUGUGAAAGAAUACUUGGUGUCGCUAUCCAAACCACUGUUAUCCAACACUGCAGACUGGUCACUGACUCAGGCACGGAGCUGCAGCUGCAGGCAGAGGUUCUACAGAAAGGACUGAAACACAGCUCGAGUCCAACACUAACACUGAGGGUGAGCGUGCCGUCCUGCCAGCAAGCUACCCAGAGCCAGGACUAAUGAUGUGCUGAUAAUAAUGAAGGUGAUGAGAAACAGGACCAGCUCAGUCACAACAUGUUACUGCAUACUAUCAGAGGAGAUGAAGUAUGAACCCUUGCAUGAAUGUGUGCUUGGCUCCAAAAAGUUGGUGACUGGACUGACAGCAGAGCAGCCUCCAACCAACCUGUUCAAACUGGAAGGCCAACUGAUUUUCAUCCAAGACAAGUGUGAUUAUAUGGAAGCUGUCUCAAAAACAAUAUGGAAACAAGACGAGUUUCCCAGUUAUCAGUGGACCAGCCACCAGAACCUGCUCUGGCUGAUUUUGUCUCCCAGCCUCCAUAAAGAGGUUCCAUGCAGCAUGACUUCCACCUUGAGCAAACCAGUGGGAGUGGGUGACUGGGAAUGUGGUAUUCCAUUGCUCAGUGGUUCCGUUGACUUUUGGCUCAGUGUUUCCCAAAGACGUGGAGCUGGACAGGCAUUCCAGCCUUGCGGGGACAAAGAGGCUCUUUCAACAGUAGUAAUCCUCUGGAGGAGGAGUGGGAACACUGCUGGCCCGCUGCUGCAUACUGGACUAUAGGACCCACACUGAGGUUCAAACACUCACACACACACUGUGUGACCACAACAGGGUCAUGUGUGUAUGGGUAUGAGAUAUAUGGGGGGGCCAUUACUGGGCUCUCAUCAAUCAGUAGGUUUAACAUCAGUGGUCCUCACAUAUUUCAGUUCCAACAUGUCUUUUACUUUUCUUACUGUAGGCUUGACCUUAGUGCUACCAUCUAUCAUCUAUGAUAUUCUAUGAUGUGACAACCAAUGAAAUAGUCUGGAGCUAUUCAUUA